rnacentral:rRNA from 1 species
ACGGGAGGCAGCAGUUGGGAAUAUUGGACAAUGGAGGAAACUCUGAUCCAGUGACGCCGCGUGAAGGAAGAAGGUCUUCGGAUUGUAAACUUAUUUUGUCAGGGAAGAAAAAUGACUGUACCUGAAGAAAAAGCACCGGCUAACUACGUGCCAGCAGCCGCGGUAAUACGUAGGGUGCAAGCGUUAUCCGGAUUUACUGGGUGUAAAGGGCGAGUAGACGGCGAUGCAAGUCAGAUGUGAAAUGCUAGGGCUUAACCUUAGAACUGCAUCUGAAACUGUAUUGCUAGAGUGCAGGAGAGGUAAACGGAAUUCCUAGUGUAGCGGUGAAAUGCGUAGAUAUUAGGAGGAACAUCAGUGGCGAAGGCGGUUUACUGGACUGUAACUGACGUUGAGGCGCGAAAGCGUGGGGAGCAAACAGGAUUAGAUACCCUGGUA